GCCCUGCAGAGGCCACUCUGCUUUUCCUGACCUCUGUACAACAGAGAACUGCUAAGGGGCUAUCUUCUCCCUUUCCUACAGAUGGGAGGCAGCCAUACAGAUUUGAGGACAGCAGGAGCGAUAAGUGACAGUGGUUCCUGAAGUUGAGGAAGGGAUGAAAUGACUUCUGCGGGGCCAUACCAGUCACCUAAGUAUUGAUCCUGUGAAAACAUCGAAGGAGAUAUUCAUGUGACUGAUCCUAAGACAUCCCAGUGCUCCUGCCUGUCUCUGCCUUCCCCUGAUCUGAUUCUUCCUGCUGCAUCCGCUACUGGGCUUAACUGUGGGCUCAGGCUUCCUGAGCCCAGAGAGAAAGGACUGAGGGGCCAACGGGUCUGCGAUCCGCUUUCCAUGGAGCAUCU
rnacentral:lncRNA from 12 species